GUUGUAUUCUUUUGCAAAUGGUAUGCCCUCAUGGGGGUAAUUCUCAUUCCUUUGGCAGUGCUGGCAUGGAGUCUCUAUGUCCCAGUGUGGCUGCGCGUGCAGUCCCUGGGGGGACGCUGAGCGGCUGGUGUGCGGUCCCUGGGGUCCAGUGGGGCUGCUGAGUGGCUGGCAGAGAGGGAGCAGUGAUUUCCCUGCUCAGCUCCCUUGCCUCUUAGUGAUGCCAGAGUAGUGUCAUAUUCCGGC